AUUAACAUGUGCCCUUGCAAUCUACAUCCUAGCUCUUUUUAUUGGCGAAAUUCAAGAUCGUAGGACUAGCUGGCUGGCAUGGCUGUAUUUAUGAUUUUCUCUCUCUUUUCGUUUUCAAGAAAAGAUGCUUAAAUUAAUUAUUGGAUUUCAAAAUCUUCGAACAUUGAUCAUGUAUGCACCUCAUGGGUAGAUUUCAUAUUUUUUUUGUUCUAAUUGGUAGAAUUCUCAACGCAAUCUCUGCUGUAGAUCUCGAACUGAUAUAUAUGAACAAGUUAUACCAACUUAAUUUUUGUUUUAACACUAAUAAACUAAGCAAAAUUAAACACUAAAAUGCCAUAUUUUUGGGGAUUAUAACACUAACUAAAACACCAAUUAACAUGAACAAUAAUAGGCUAAUGGCAAUAAUAUGUUAAUGUAAUUACUUAAUAAUAGGCUAAUAGCAAUAAUAUGUUAACUCUCUUUGUAUAAAAAAUUGACGAGUGUCACAUAAUAUAUAAAAGAGAGUGUACAUACGCGUGCAUAAAAUAAUGUAAGAGUUUGCAUGUUCAUGCUCUCAAUUAUAUAAGUUCUUUUUUUUUUAGUUCCAAACAAAAGAAGAGUUUCUGAAAUGGUGGGCUGAUUGUCAGGUCCAACAUAAUUAAUUUUAUGAAGACUUAAACCAUUAAAUGUGUAUGCAAUUAAUCAUAAAUGCUUAUUCAGUUUUACAGAUGAUCUGUUUUCUAAUUACUGAGAAGGCAAUUUUUAAUGUUUAUGUCUUAAUGUGAGAUUUAAAUAACUAAUCUUUAACCUUUGCAAAGUAGUUGUAAAUGUUAUGCGGAAAAGAAUUUUCCACUUUGUAUUGUUUUUAUACACGUGUGUGCCACAUCAUGAAAUUUUGUCCACGUGAAUGCCAGUAUGUAUGAUAUGAGUUAACUGGCCUGUUAGCCACGUCAGAAUUUUCCAUCCAAAUGCGGUUCAUUUGACACAAUAUAAUAGGUUAGGGGUUAAAUUGACACCAAAAAUAAGACAAGGGUUUAAAUAAAUUUUUUUUAAUAGUUUGAUGGUUUAUUUUAUCAUUAUAUCUUUUAAAAAAUAAUAUCACAAAUAAUUUAUAAAUUAUAAUAAAAUGAUCAAUAUAAUAUUUAAAAUUUUAAAAAAUUUAUAAUAUGAAUUAUAAAACUUUUUAAAAUUUAAAUACCGUAUAAAAAUUUUUAUUAUAAUUCAAAUAUUGUAUUUAAAUUUUAUUAUAAUUCAAAUAUUAAUCGUGGCAUCAACCCUUAAACCGUUAAGAUUUUGAUAACAUCAUCUUCAUUGUUUGUUUUAUAGACAGUGAAAUCAUGAAUCAUGAAUAAAUGUUGGUGGUUGAGUAUUCUGCUUAAAUUAACAAAUUAGCAAUCAGCCAAUAAUUAAUCAUGAAUAUGGUUGAUGAUGCCUAAUUCUUCUAAACAAUUAAUUUUCUCUUACUUUAUAUUAUAUUAUAUAAUGACAUGCAAAUGCAACUGGUUAAUUAAUUAAUUUUUUUGGUAUAAAACUCAUAAUUUAAGAAUAAAAAUUAUAAAUAUUAAAAUUUAAAUUGAAGAUCUGAAAAUUUGUUCUUUGCUUCUUGGAUUAAUGAAACAAAUUUCUCCAAAAAAAAAAAAACCAUUAUUUUGUGGUCCUAAUACGCAUCAAUCACCCCUUAAUAUUAUUGUUUACACUAUAGGAAACCCAUAGUACAUUCUAAUGUUCAUAUAACUUAUGUGAUUGGAAAUUAUAAUAUUUAUAUAAGAUAAGAUAAAUGAGUACUAUAUAAUUUUUUCAAUACGUCACCGCCUGUCAAUUUUUGUGAAAAUUAAUAAAAAAAAAAGAAUGAUUACCUUAUUGAUUUCUCCCUAAUUUGUCUUAUUGUUCUUUCUCGUCUUUCCAAGAACAUAAAAUGUGAAAUGACGUGUCGAUUUACCAAAGGUCAUUUGUAGGAAAAAAAUCUCUAAGAACCCUCUAAAAGCCAGAUAAAACUUGUGUAAGAAAAAACAGUCUUUUUUUUUUGUAAGGUUCAUGAUUUUGUUUGAAUGAUAUGUCGUCCUAAUGUUGCUUCAAAAGCCAAAUUGAUUAGUCAAUAAUCUGAUUAUAAAUUUAAAAAGAUAUGUGAAUACGUGACCUAUUGAUGAUCCAAAAGUCAUGAGAUUGAAAUUAAAAGAUGUAUCAAAUCAUGAAUUUGAAUGACCUCAAGCUCCUUUCUAAAAGACAGGCAAAAGAAAACCCGAAACUAUUAUAUUUUUUUAUUUUAUUAUUCCUUCAUAUGCAUUCAUAAUUACUUAGAAUUUAUCAAGCACAUGUUCUGAUUUCGAACUUUGAAAAGUAUAAUUAUAAUUCUAGUUUUUGGUCCAAUAAUAAUUGAGCAAUUUACUUAAAAUAAUAGACAUAAAUCUAUUAUUCACUCAUGCACAUAGUCAUUAAUUCAAUGUUUUUUUCUAAUAAUUGAAGCUAUUAAAAUUAAAAAUUAAAUUAUGAUUAUUAAAAUUAAAAAUGUUAUAUUUUGUCGUAAAUACGAUUAUUGGCCGUUCAAUGUUUUAUUGAGAUGAAUAUGUUAAGUUUAUUAUUGAUUUAGAAAAGUAAUGGAGUGAAGAAGUUUAAUUUGUUGGCAAUUUAAGAUCAAAGUUUAAAUGUUUUUGAAGGAAAUGAUAAUGGUGACGCCAUAAAGAAAAAACAUUUAUAUAAAACGGUUAUUCUAUAUCAUCGUAUUUUUUUUAUUUAAAUUAUAAAACGUUAUCAUAUUAAUAGAAAAAAUCAAUCAUUUAUUAUAUAUCACAUAUGAUAAUUAAAUAGUUAAUAUUUAAUUUAAUAUAUAAAAUAAUAAAUUUGAUGCAUAAUAAAUGAUUAAUUUUAUUCAAUAAUAUAAUUAUGUGAUAUAAUUUAAGUAAAAAAUAUGUUGACCUGAAUUAUUCGUUUCAUAAUCUCAAUCAAAGAAUCACAAUUUUAUUAGAUAAAUUAAAAGGCUAAACUUUUCUUUACUUUAGAAAAACUGAUAUAUUUUGCCAAAGUAUAACCUGUCUAGAUAAUGCCCCAAGAAACAAUAUUGAUUUGAUGGAAUAAUUGGAAUAAGGGAAGGAUUAAUUCCCCCUAAAGCAGACAAAAUGAUAUAGUUUUCAACUUUCAUAAUUUACUACCUUAAUUGUUAAGGUGAACACAACUCUAUUCAGAUAUUGCAUUUUUUUUUUUUUAAGAUCAUUAUUAUCCUGUAAUUUUAAUAAGAAAUAAAAUAAAUAGGAAUUAGUAAAAACUUUUAGGUUUUUGAUUCAAUCUCACUAAAUAUAAUAAGGUCGGUCGAAUUUUAAGUUGAUUUGGUAAUUUGUUUAUUUAGUUUAUUCUUUGAUUUCUUAUUCUUUAUGUAUAAUUUUAUUAUGCAUGUGGAGAUUUAGUUGAUUAUUGUAAUUGUAAAUUUUUAUUUGUAUGCAUAUUUUCAUUAAAAUUAAUAGGAACCACAUUAAAUAAAUUGAUCUCAAAAAUCAAUUUGUUAGUGCAUAGUUUUGGAAUAGACAAAUUAUCUCUCUUUUGGUCAAGAUGAC
rnacentral:lncRNA from 1 species